rnacentral:rRNA from 1 species
UACGGAGGAUGCGAGCGUUAUCCGGAUUCAUUGGGUUUAAAGGGUGCGUAGGCGGACGCUUAAGUCAGCGGUAAAAUUGCGGGGCUCAACCUCGUCGAGCCGUUGAAACUGGGUGCCUUGAGUGGGCGAGAAGUACGCGGAAUGCGUGGUGUAGCGGUGAAAUGCAUAGAUAUCACGCAGAACUCCGAUUGCGAAGGCAGCGUACCGGCGCCCUACUGACGCUGAAGCACGAAGGCGUGGGUAUCGAACAGG